UACGAUCAAAUACGGAUUUGCACUCCGAGGGCUGAGCU
rnacentral:tRNA from 1 species